CUCACUAUGUUGCUCAGGCUGGUCUUGAACUCCUGGACUCAAGUGAUCUGACCGCCUCAGCCUCCCAAAGUGCUGGAAUUACCACUGAGCAUUUACUAUGUUCCAGGCCCUAUGCUAAGCACAUUGCCUACUGCAUCUCACCCUUCAGUAGUAGGCCCUGUGCUAAGUGCAUUACCUGCUGUGUCUCACCCUUCAGUAGGAGUAGGGGUGAGUGAAAUCACUGUGAAACACUGAGGCACAAAAUAAGCAUGAACGCUUUGAUGAAUUGGAGUGGUCACGAUAUAAAAGACUUCAGAAACCACAGGAGGAAGUUGAGAGAUCCCCUUGCACAGGGAGACAGUGAUGCUGGUUCCAUUUCAGCUACAAUGAAGGGUGAGAAAGCCCUGGCACCAGGGCUGCCUAAGAACAUGGGGGUGGAUCAAGUCUGAUUGCAUAAACCAGUAGGGCUUUCUGGAGCAACCCCCAAGCAGAAGCCUCUCCCAGUGGAUUCUCCGCCACUGCAUCUGCCCCUGAUGUGUAGCUUUCAGUCUGUGACAAGAGUAUUUGGGGUUGGAUUCAGUAGACUGGACUGAGUUUCAAAUCUGAGUUCUAUUUAUGAGCUGAAGACAACCCUGACCUUCAGUUUCCUCAUCGGUACAACAGAAUAGCAAUACCUGGUCCAUGUGAUUGUUGUGAAUAUUAUAUAUGAAAGAACUGGACAAAUCACAUUUGAGCACUUACUGUAUAUCCUUGAAGAAUUUGAACUUGUUUAACUCUUUUCUCCAGUUUGGGUGCUCCCCUCCGCUGUAGGAGGAGAAGAGGUUUGAGGGAAGGAGGACAGAUGACAUUUGCAGGAAUUUGACCAGGCAUUGUGCUACGUGUUCUCGGUACAGAGACUCAUCUGACCCUUCCACAGCUGCCCUGUGAGCCAUGUACUCUUAUCCUUACUCUAAACCUGCGCGCCUGGUGCUCAGAGAGGGGAAGCUAUCUACCUCAGUGAACCUAGGCCUGACACCAAAAAUCUAUACCUUUUAUAGACACCCACAAUCGAUUAUAACACCCACAAUCUAUUCAAAACUGUAAUUUUUUUCUGGCUGACAAUGCAAGAAAAUCUCAAGGUGGAAAUUCAUGCAGAUGAGAUAAGUUUCAAACACAAUCUCCUAUUAUUCAAUUACUCUGUUAUCCCCCAUUAAACCAUCUCUUAGAUGACCCCUGGUCACCACUGUCCUUCUUAUCUCAGUCUGCCCCCGCACCCAGGCUUAUGCUGGAGAAGCACAAAAGUACAAGGGACCUUAGAGAUCAUCUGAUCCAGCUCCUGCUCUAAGAGCAAGGAAACUGAAGCCCAGAAUGAGUGCCAAAGCCGCCCAAUAGAAGCCUGCUCCUGAGGGUCGUCGCCUGCCCCCUGCCCCACUCUUGCCCUGGGGAACCCGUGCUUCCUCCCCUCUUGCCCCUUUCUCAGAAGCAGGCGGCAGAGACACAACACAAAGGAUGGAGAGCAUCACUACAUUUUCCUUUGAACUGUACAGAUGGUUCAUUUUACCCACUUUUUUCUUCUAGAUCUAAGAUAUCUGAUUUUGAAGAAAUGAACGUUUUCAUAGAAAGUGGAAAUAAUAACUCCUUUUGCUAAAAAGAAUGCGGAGGGAGGGGAUGACCCAAGAAUUGACAGUGCAUUGCAUUUUGUGUAACAUUCUAAACAAGAAAGCGAGGUCCUUUCCUGCCCGGGCCUGAGCUUCUUCUGCAACUGCCUCAGUCAGCUGUGGUGCUGUUCUGGCUGCAUCCCCUGCUUCCUAUGGCUCCAGCCAACCCUUCUUCCUUGGGUCCUGGGCCUUGCUCUCAGGGCCAGCAACCUUCUACUGAACCUCCAGCCAUAAUCGUUCAUUCCAGCUCUCUCUCGUUCUUUCUUCUUCCUGGGUUAUUUCUCAUGUUCUAUAUGAGGUAGUUGAGCAUUCUGUUCUAUUUUGAGGCUGCGCUCCAUCACAGAAUAAAAAACUGCUCAAAAUCGGACACAUCUGCAUUUCAAAGCCAAUUCCUCCAUGACUACUGACUAGUUGUGUGACUCUGGGCAACUCAGUCUCCAGACCUCAGUUUCAUCAUCUGUAAAAUGGGGGAAAUAGUAUCUCUUUAGAACGUCUUACAUCAGAAUCAACCAAAUAGUGUCAUUAAAGAGUUCUGCAUAUGAUAAGGGCACAAUAGAUGGUUGCUUUUCUUCUUCUAGCAGGCUGAUUAUCCCAAAUCUUAUACUCCCGCUAAGUCUAGUUGUGGCGCCCCCAGAAUCCACCUGGAUAGCACCAAGUCGAAGUCAUCUUUAUGUCACCCAGAGAUCUGUUGGGGUAUGCCUAGCAUCAUUCUGCCCUACAUGUGGCUAAGUGACACUGCUGCAGCUCCAUGAUAUUGCACCACCUUGUCUGGAGCCAGACCGGGCAUGCCUCCAACGUCAUAAUAAUCUUCAGGGUAUGAUUAUCACAGUGCACAGAGGCCUGCCAAGGCCCUAGAAGAAAGUUAUGACAGGGUAGAAAAGAAACGUGCCUUGGAAACUUGGGUUCAGUGUCCUGCUGUGUCACUUACUAGCUCUGUGUCCUUGAGAAAGUUCUUCAGAUUUUCUCCAUUUUAACUGUAGAAGGCAACAGAAAUUUCUUCCUCCCUCCUCCUCUACCCUACCCCACUUCCCUUCAACAAAUAUGAAUUAGGCAUCUAGUCACUGGGGAAGCAAAAGUGAGUAGAAACAGAUAAAAUCCCUCCAAGAUGACAUCAUGGAGCUCAUUGUCUGAUGAGGUAGAGGUAUGUUCAUCAAGUAAAUAAAUGCAAGACUGCAGCCCUCAGAACACUUUAUCUGAUAGGUUCAUGGUGCCAGUGCAUGUCUCACAGUGCAAUCUGAACCUGUCAGUGAGGUCAUGGAAUACAUUUUGAUGAAGUUGUGACUUCAUAGCAACCUGAAGGACAAAAAAGCAGUUACCAGCUAAGAGGGGUGAAAGAGCUUUCCAGGCCAAGGAUGGGGUUAGUGUGAAGUCUUAGUAGAUGGAGACAAGGGAUGCUGGAGGAACUAGAAGGCUGGGGGAGUGCUGGGCAGAGAGGAUGGCUGGAGGGGCCAGCAGACACAGUGUCUCACAAGCCUUUUAGGCCUUAUGAAGGAUUUUGGUCAUUAGUCUCUUAGGAGCAAUUGGCAGCCCUUAUAUGGUUUUAAGAGGAGGGGAUAGACAUUCAAUAAGUAAUUUUUAGAAGAAUAAAUGAGUUUGUUAAUGACUUAUCUCCCAAAUCAUUUAUCAAAUUAAGUAGUUAGUCACUUAUCAAGAGCUUGAAUGUAUGGGACACAGCAAAGGAUGUUUUGGUAGAAAAAAGGGACGGGAAAAAUCUGGAAGGUGAGGUGCUGUCUUAGAGUUGAGGCCUAGACACCGUGUCACAGUGGGGUCCCUGGGCCCUGCGGGAAGAUCUCAGAGUACUGCGCACCUGGCAUGGGUGUGCGGUUCAAGACAGAUAUCCCGAGGAAGAAAGGGGAGGAUAUUCCAGUGUCUUUAACGUCAAAGACACUUUGCUUACUUCAUGACUGAGAUCAGGGUUAGCCAUUCUUGAAUAUGUUGCAGGUGGAAAAAGAGGAAAACCUAGUGAUUAUUUGAGGCCUUUACUGAGCCAGUCACAUCCCCUAAACCAGUUAGAGGAGUUCAUUAUCUGACAUGGUAAAAUGCAGAUGUCCAAAUUGAAAUUCAGUUCAACCCUUAUAAAGACAUUUUCUAAUCCUGACAUUUACUGACUCUGACUUUCUAUGUCUGCGAAUUGGGAAUAAUGAUACCUAUCUCACUGGGUUAAAUGAGAACACGCACAUACUGUGCUCAGCAUAGUGUCUGGGAUCUGUGGCAGCAGCUAUUUUCACAGCAAUUAUUCUGUAUGUAUGAUAUAACUUUAAAACUUCUCUAGGGACCAACAAGGCAAUGCAAUCAAACACCAGCACAGCCAAUAGGGGGCAAUACAGAGUGGUGGGGACUGUGGCAAACUGGAGACUCCUUGCCUGUUCAAAGAGGGCAACAGCUCCUCUUUAGUUUCAGCUAUUAGCUACUGAGCAAGAACUCAAAACAAGUGCUUUCUGACUUUUCCAGAAAUGCUGGAAAUCUUAAUGCAUAAUUUUGUUAUCCAAUUCAAAUAAAAAACUGCAAACAAUAACAA